rnacentral:rRNA from 1 species
CGAAUGCUGACAUAAGUAACGAUAAAGCGGGUGAAAAGCCCGCUCGCCGGAAGACCAAGGGUUCCUGUCCAACGUUAAUCGGGGCAGGGUGAGUCGACCCCUAAGGCGAGGCCGAAAGGCGUAGUCGAUGGGAAACAGGUUAAUAUUCCUGUACUUGGUGUUACUGCGAAGGGGGGACGGAGAAGGCUAUGUUGGCCGGGCGACGGUUGUCCCGGUUUAAGCGUGUAGGCUGGUUUUCCAGGCAAAUCCGGAAAAUCAAGGCUGAGGCGUGAUGACGAGGCACUACGGUGCUGAAGCAACAAAUGCCCUGCUUCCAGGAAAAGCCUCUAAGCAUCAGGUAACAUCAAAUCGUACCCCAAACCGACACAGGUGGUCAGGUAGAGAAUACCAAGGCGCUUGAGAGAACUCGGGUGAAGGAACUAGGCAAAAUGGUGCCGUAACUUCGGGAGAAGGCACGCUGAUAUGUAGGUGAAGUCCCUCGCGGAUGGAGCUGAAAUCAGUCGAAGAUACCAGCUGGCUGCAACUGUUUAUUAAAAACACAGCACUGUGCAAACACGAAAGUGGACGUAUACGGUGUGACGCCUGCCCGGUGCCGGAAGGUUAAUUGAUGGGGUCAGCGCAAGCGAAGCUCUUGAUCGAAGCCCCGGUAAACGGCGGCCGUAACUAUAACGGUCCUAAGGUAGCGAAAUUCCUUGUCGGGUAAGUUCCGACCUGCACGAAUGGCGUAAUGAUGGCCAGGCUGUCUCCACCCGAGACUCAGUGAAAUUGAACUCGCUGUGAAGAUGCAGUGUACCCGCGGCAAGACGGAAAGACCCCGUGAACCUUUACUAUAGCUUGACACUGAACAUUGAGCCUUGAUGUGUAGGAUAGGUGGGAGGCUUUGAAGUGUGGACGCCAGUCUGCAUGGAGCCGACCUUGAAAUACCACCCUUUAAUGUUUGAUGUUCUAACGUGGACCCGUGAUCCGGGUUGCGGACAGUGUCUGGUGGGUAGUUUGACUGGGGCGGUCUCCUCCUAAAGAGUAACGGAGGAGCACGAAGGUUGGCUAAUCCUGGUCGGACAUCAGGAGGUUAGUGCAAUGGCAUAAGCCAGCUUGACUGCGAGCGUGACGGCGCGAGCAGGUGCGAAAGCAGGUCAUAGUGAUCCGGUGGUUCUGAAUGGAAGGGCCAUCGCUCAACGGAUAAAAGGUACUCCGGGGAUAACAGGCUGAUACCGCCCAAGAGUUCAUAUCGACGGCGGUGUUUGGCACCUCGAUGUCGGCUCAUCACAUCCUGGGGCUGAAGUAGGUCCCAAGGGUAUGGCUGUUCGCCAUUUAAAGUGGUACGCGAGCUGGGUUUAGAACGUCGUGAGACAGUUCGGUCCCUAUCUGCCGUGGGCGCUGGAGAACUGAGGGGGGCUGCUCCUAGUACGAGAGGACCGGAGUGGACGCAUCACUGGUGUUCGGGUUGUCAUGCCAAUGGCACUGCCCGGUAGCUAAAUGCGGAAGAGAUAAGUGCUGAAAGCAUCUAAGCACGAAACUUGCCCCGAGAUGAGUUCUCCCU